rnacentral:rRNA from 1 species
UACGGGGGGGGCAAGCGUUGUUCGGAAUGACUGGGCGUAAAGGGCGCGUAGGCGGUGCUCUAAGUCGGAUGUGAAAACUCUGGGCUCAACCCAGAGCCUGCAUCCGAAACUGGAGUGCUAGAGUUCUGGAGGGGGUAGCGGAAUUCCUGGUGUAGCGGUGAAAUGCGUAGAUAUCAGGAGGAACACCGGUGGCGAAGGCGGCUACCUGGACAGAAACUGACGCUGAGGCGCGAAAGCUAGGGGAGCAAACAGG